rnacentral:rRNA from 1 species
CGCGUAGGCGGUCUGGUAAGUCAGUGGUGAAAACUGAGGGCUCAACCCUCAGCCUGCCACUGAUACUGUCGGGCUAGAGUGCGGAAGAGGCGAGUGGAAUUCCUGGUGUAGCGGUGAAAUGCGCAGAUAUCAGGAGGAACACCUAUUGCGAAGGCAGCUCGCUGGGACGUAACUGACGCUGAGACGCGAAGCGUGGGAGCAAACA